GCUAGCUGACGAGGAAGCCAAUGCGAAGUGAGCCUGGUACCUUUUGAGAAGAUGGCUCUGCUAAGUGAUAAUCCAUCUGAAAAGAAAGGUUUAUCUGCAUAUACCCUUCCUAUGUAAACAGUAAGAAGACCCUAGCAGAGGGGAGACGGAUACCCGCUGAAAAGGCAGUGGAGAACCCUUCUUGUGCUGAGAUCCGUCAUGUGUUGACAGUAGGGGGGGCAAAUGUUCUUAUGGAGGUAAAGACGUGAUGAUCUACUGUGCUGAGAUGAUCCCCAAACUGAAGACCCAGACCGGUGCGGUGGCAGACUCUGGCUCCUAGCAAGGGGAGGGCAGCAGGAAAAGCAAGAAAGAGGAAGUAGCCACACAAAGGCCCCCAUGUUGCUGUGCGAAACCAACAAAGAAAGGAAGUAUUUCGCAAGGAACUUGUACAAUGGCAGAAAGAAUGAAAGAAGACUCAUUUAUGUGAUGUCAUUAUCUUGUAUAGGCCUACUUGUGAUGUUUAUGCCAUCAGUCACAUAUAAUUGUAAAAAUACAUAUUUUGGGGAUACGUUGCAUUCGUAAAGUAUUCAGAACCCUUGACUUUACAGCCUUAUUCUAAAUGUUUAAAAAAAAAUCCCU